rnacentral:rRNA from 1 species
ACGCUCGACACCUACGGGGGGCACAGUGGGGAAUAUUGCACAAUGGGGGAAACCCUGAUGCAGCAACGCCGCGUGAAGGAAGACGGUUUUCGGAUUGUAAACUUCUGUUCUUAGUGAAGAUAGUGACGGUAGCUAAGGAGCAAGCCACGGCUAACUACGUGCUAGCAGCCGCGGUAAUCUGAGCGGGCUGGCAAGGC